rnacentral:rRNA from 1 species
GAGUGGCGGACGGGUGAGUAACACGUGGGUAACCUGCCCAUCAGAGGGGGAUAACACUUGGAAACAGGUGCUAAUACCGCAUAAUAGUCGACACCGCAUGGUGUUGAUUUGAAAGACGCUUUCGGGUGUUACUGAUGGAUGGACCCGCGGUGCAUUAGCUAGUUGGUGAGGUAACGGCUCACCAAGGCGAUGAUGCAUAGCCGACCUGAGAGGGUGAUCGGCCACACUGGGACUGAGACACGGCCCANACUCCUACGGGAGGCAGCAGUAGGGAAUCUUCGGCAAUGGACGAAAGUCUGACCGAGCAACGCCGCGUGAGUGAAGAAGGUUUUCGGAUCGUAAAACUCUGUUGUUAGAGAAGAACAAGUAGGAGAGUAACUGCUCUUACCUUGACGGUAUCUAACCAGAAAGCCACGGCUAACUACGUGCCAGCAGCCGCGGUAAUACGUAGGUGGCAAGCGUUGUCCGGAUUUAUUGGGCGUAAAGCGAGCGCAGGCGGUUUCUUAAGUCUGAUGUGAAAGCCCCCGGCUCAACCGGGGAGGGUCAUUGGAAACUGGGAGACUUGAGUGCA